GGGAAGGCAUCGAGCUUGAGGAAGAGGCCCCAUUCAUCUCCGUACCCCAGGCCCUGGUACACAGCAGAUAAACCUGCCAGUAAUUUCAGCAAAUGAAACGUGGAACACGUCAAGGCCAGAGGAUGGAAAAGGCUCCAGUUUUGAUAAAAGGAGGCCUGCUUGGCUUGGAAUCCUCUCUCCUGCUGGUUGGGAGAUGCAAAGAUGUUUCCAGAGAGGGGCUGAUGAAUUGAGGGGAAAGAAAUGAGCCCAGUAUGAGUCCCCUUUCAGGGCUGAGCGGGUAUAAAACCAAACAACUUGGAACCGCUCCAAGAGAGGGGAUUAAAGCAACAUGUUAUUCUGAGUGAUUGCUUAAUUUAUUGAGCUGCGGCUGGAUCUGUAAUGAAAUACAGCCCUUGUAACUGAUAACCUCCUGCUGCCAUUGAACUU
rnacentral:lncRNA from 1 species